rnacentral:rRNA from 1 species
UACGUAGGGUGCAAGCGUUAAUCGGAAUUACUGGGCGUAAAGCGUGCGUAGGUGGUUCGUUAAGUCUGAUGUGAAAGCCCUGGGCUCAACCUGGGAAUGGCAUUGGAAACUGGCGACCUAGAGUGCGGUAGAGGGUAGUGGAAUUCCCGGUGUAGCAGUGAAAUGCGUAGAGAUCGGGAGGAACAUCUGUGGCGAAGGCGACUGCCUGGACUAGCACUGACACUGAGGCACGAAAGCGUGGGUAGCAAACAGG